rnacentral:rRNA from 1 species
UACGUAGGUGGCAAGCGUUGUCCGGAAUUAUUGGGCGUAAAGCGCGCGCAGGCGGUCCUUUAAGUCUGAUGUGAAAGCCCACGGCUCAACCGUGGAGGGUCAUUGGAAACUGGGGGACUUGAGUGCAGAAGAGGAAAGCGGAAUUCCACGUGUAGCGGUGAAAUGCGUAGAGAUGUGGAGGAACACCAGUGGCGAAAGGCGGCUUUCUGGUCUGUAACUGACGCUGAGGCGCGAAAGCGUGGGGAGCGAACAGG